CCGAAUUGCAAUGGAUCUGCCCAAUUAAGCGCAUCAGGUCAUAAAUGCCCCGCUGUCAUGAUGUAGUCACUUUAAAUCGGAUCAGUGCGAGAGAACAUACAGGCUCUGAUUAAGGACUUUAUGCAGGUAUGUCGGUUCAUAAAGACGCCUGAUGUCGGGACGGUGAAGGCACGUCUACAAGAUAAUGUGUAGUAAACAGAUGGUAAACGUAAUUUCCGGACACAUAUGCGACUUGCAAGGGUCAAAGUCUUUAAAUUAUGAUCUCUGUGUGCAUGCGGUUAUCUUUAGCCGACUUGUGAAAUGUCCAAACAACUCCAAAAUGCUUCCUAUGAUAAUAACACGGACGAUAAAGAAAUAAGUCUGUUGAUUUUUAAAUCAAUCUUAUGUGGUAUGACACUUUUAUCGAUCAGAUCGAAGAGAAAUAUACGUCUCCUUGCGGUAAACCAGAAUACAGCACGGCAUUUUGCUUCAUAUACGUGUUAUUCAAUAGAAAACAACAGUUUAAAGCCAAAGGAACCCAAUCUAACAUUUGUGUCGGUCGUUGGACAUUCUAAAUCAUGAUCUGAUAUAUUGUUUGGAAAUUCUCCCCUUUGCUGAUGAAAUACCUUCUAUCAUUUAAUGGAUAUUUAACUAGAACAGAACGGAACAGAACAGAACGGACCAGAACAGAACUGAGUCUCUCGGUCAGCAUUUACAUCUCUGUAAACGGCAUCGAUAUUGCCAUUUAAUUUAUCAUAUACGAUUUAUAACUGGUAUUCUGCGGAUUCUGAACUUAAUGCUCCGUAAUUGAUACAUUGACAUUUUCUUGACAAAAUAUUGAUAAAUCAUUUUAUAGACCGAUAUCGAAGUUGGAUUUUGCUGUUAUCCGAAUUCAGAAAACAGCAUAAUACAAUAAGUACAAUGAUUAUCAAGAUUAAUAAAAAAUGUUUCACCUAGAGUUAUUUUGACAUAGGAAAUUCUACAAGUCUGACAAACCGGAGGUAAAGGCAUGACGUCAUUUAACCGGAAAUAUAACACAAAACCUGGACUCGGCAUAUGGAUUCUCCUUUUCGUUUGCCUAAUUUUCUUAAAAUAUUUGUGGGUUUGAAAACUUAAGAUUUUCUCAAUUUGAGC
rnacentral:lncRNA from 1 species